rnacentral:rRNA from 1 species
GACACAGGUGGUCAGGUAGAGAAUACCAAGGCGCUUGAGAGAACUCGGGUGAAGGAACUAGGCAAAAUGGUGCCGUAACUUCGGGAGAAGGCACGCUGACACGUAGGUGAAGUGAUUUACUCAUGGAGCUGAAGUCAGUCGAAGAUACCAGCUGGCUGCAACUGUUUAUUAAAAACACAGCACUGUGCAAACACGAAAGUGGACGUAUACGGUGUGACGCCUGCCCGGUGCCGGAAGGUUAAUUGAUGGGGUCAGCGCAAGCGAAGCUCCUGAUCGAAGCCCCGGUAAACGGCGGCCGUAACUAUAACGGUCCUAAGGUAGCGAAAUUCCUUGUCGGGUAAGUUCCGACCUGCACGAAUGGCGUAAUGAUGGCCAGGCUGUCUCCACCCGAGACUCAGUGAAAUUGAACUCGCUGUGAAGAUGCAGUGUACCCGCGGCAAGACGGAAAGACCCCGUGAACCUUUACUAUAGCUUGACACUGAACAUUGAGCCUUGAUGUGUAGGAUAGGUGGGAGGCUUUGAAGUGUGGACGCCAGUCUGCAUGGAGCCGACCUUGAAAUACCACCCUUUAAUGUUUGAUGUUCUAACGUGGACCCGUGAUCCGGGUUGCGGACAGUGUCUGGUGGGUAGUUUGACUGGGGCGGUCUCCUCCUAAAGAGUAACGGAGGAGCACGAAGGUUGGCUAAUCCUGGUCGGACAUCAGGAGGUUAGUGCAAUGGCAUAAGCCAGCUUGACUGCGAGCGUGACGGCGCGAGCAGGUGCGAAAGCAGGUCAUAGUGAUCCGGUGGUUCUGAAUGGAAGGGCCAUCGCUCAACGGAUAAAAGGUACUCCGGGGAUAACAGGCUGAUACCGCCCAAGAGUUCAUAUCGACGGCGGUGUUUGGCACCUCGAUGUCGGCUCAUCACAUCCUGGGGCUGAAGUAGGUCCCAAGGGUAUGGCUGUUCGCCAUUUAAAGUGGUACGCGAGCUGGGUUUAGAACGUCGUGAGACAGUUCGGUCCCUAUCUGCCGUGGGCGCUGGAGAACUGAGGGGGGCUGCUCCUAGUACGAGAGGACCGGAGUGGACGCAUCACUGGUGUUCGGGUUGUCAUGCCAAUGGCACUGCCCGGUAGCUAAAUGCGGAAGAGAUAAGUGCUGAAAGCAUCUAAGCACGAAACUUGCCCCGAGAUGAGUUCUCCCUGAGACUUAGAGUCUCCUGAAGGAACGUUGAAGACGACGACGUUGAUAGGCCGGGUGUGUAAGCGCAGCGAUGCGUUGAGCUAACCGGUACUAAUGAACCGUGAGGCUUAAC